rnacentral:rRNA from 1 species
UACGGGGGAUGCAAGCGUUGUCCGGAUUUAUUGGGUUUAAAGGGUGCGUAGGCGGUUUACUAAGUCAGUGGUUAAAUUUGGCAGCUUAACUGUGAGUGUGCCAUUGAUACUGGUAGACUUGAGACUUGAGGAGGUAAGCGGAACUGGUAGUGUAGCGGUGAAAUGCAUAGAUACUACCAAGAAUAUCGAUAGUGAAGACAGCUUACUACAGAAGGACUGACGCUGAGGCACGAAAGCGUGGGGAUCAAACAGG